rnacentral:rRNA from 1 species
CCUACGGGAGGCAGCAGUGGGGGAUAUUGCACAAUGGGGGAAACCCUGAUGCAGCGACGCCGCGUGGGUGAAGAAGUAUUUCGGUAUGUAAAGCCCUAUCAGCAGGGAAGAAAGAAGACGGUACCUGACUAAGAAGCCCCAGCUAACUACGUGCCAGCAGCCGCGGUAAUACGUAGGGGGCGAGCGUUAUCCGGAUUCACUGGGUGUAAAGGGAGCGUAGACGGCCGUGCAAGCCAGGAGUGAAAGCCCGGGGCCCAACCCCGGGACUGCUCUUGGAACUGUGCGGCUGGAGUGCGGGAGGGGCAGGCGGAAUUCCUGGUGUAGCGGUGAAAUGCGUAGAUAUCAGGAGGAACACCGGCGGCGAAGGCGGCCUGCUGGACCGCGACUGACGUUGAGGCUCGAAAGCGUGGGGAGCGAACAGGAUUAGAUACCCCAGUAGUC